CGGUGGCGAGGCCGGGUCUCCGCUUGCUCCGGGGAAGUUUUCGGCGGCGGCUCCGAAGGAGACAGCGGGUCGACACCAGCCGCUGGGAUGGAACCGUGAGCAGUGAUUGGAACUCCCCGGCAUGGAACUGAACUGGGCUGUGUUGAGGAAACUAUAAGGUUGCCAUCACGAAAGCCAAAGUGGAUUUCUCCGGUGUGCUGUGCCUGCCCCCUUCCGUCAUUGCUAGAAAUGGGCUGGACGGAGGAGGGGCUGGCGACAAUGAGGAUGAGACGGUGCUGGUAUCUCUUUCGGCGGCACCUAGCCCUCAGAGUGAAGCUGUUGCCAAUGAGUUGC